UUAGAGUUUGAUCCUGGCUCAGAGCGAACGCUGGCGGCAGGCCUAACACAUGCAAGUCGAACGAACCUUUCGGGGUUAGUGGCGGACGGGUGAGUAACACGUGGGAACGUGCCUUUAGGUUCGGAAUAACUCAGGGAAACUUGUGCUAAUACCGAAUGUGCCCUUCGGGGGAAAGAUUUAUCGCCUUUAGAGCGGCCCGCGUCUGAUUAGCUAGUUGGUUGAGGUAAUGGCUCACCAAGGCGACGAUCAGUAGCUGGUCUGAGAGGAUGAUCAGCCACAUUGGGACUGAGACACGGCCCAAACUCCUACGGGAGGCAGCAGUGGGGAAUCUUGCGCAAUGGGCGAAAGCCUGACGCAGCCAUGCCGCGUGAAUGAUGAAGGUCUUAGGAUUGUAAAAUUCUUUCACCGGGGACGAUAAUGACGGUACCCGGAGAAGAAGCCCCGGCUAACUUCGUGCCAGCAGCCGCGGUAAUACGAAGGGGGCUAGCGUUGCUCGGAAUUACUGGGUGUAAAGGGAGCGUAGGCGGACAUUUAAGUCAGGGGUGAAAUCCCGGGGCUCAACCUCGGAAUUGCCUUUGAUACUGGAUGUCUUGAGUAUGAGAGAGGUGUGUGGAACUCCGAGUGUAGAGGUGAAAUUCGUAGAUAUUCGGAAGAACACCAGUGGCGAAGGCGACACACUGGCUCAUUACUGACGCUGAGGCUCGAAAGCGUGGGGAGCAAACAGGAUUAGAUACCCCGGUA
rnacentral:rRNA from 1 species